rnacentral:rRNA from 1 species
CGCUGGCGGCGUGCCUAAUACAUGCAAGUCGAACGGUCUUUCUAUGGAAGCUUGCUUCCGCUGAGAAGAUAGUGGCGAACGGGUGAGUAACACGUGGGUAACCUGCCCAUAAGAGGGGGGAUAACAUCCGGAAACGGGUGCUAAUACCGCAUAGUUUUCUUGAUCGCAUGAUCGGGAAAGGAAAGACGGCCUUUGUGCUGUCGCUUAUGGAUGGACCCGCGGCGUAUUAGUUAGUUGGUGAGGUAACGGCUCACCAAGACGAUGAUACGUAGCCGACCUGAGAGGGUGAUCGGCCACAUUGGGACUGAGACACGGCCCAAACUCCUACGGGAGGCAGCAGUAGGGAAUCUUCCGCAAUGGACGAAAGUCUGACGGAGCAACGCCGCGUGAGUGAAGAAAAGGUUUUCGGAUCGUAAAACUCUGUUGUCAGAGAAGAACAAGUUGGAGAGUAACUGCUCCAGCCUUGACGGUAUCUGACCAGAAAGCCACGGCUAACUACGUGCCAGCCGCCGC